rnacentral:rRNA from 1 species
AGUGAACGCUGGCGGCGUGCUUAACACAUGCAAGUCGAACGAGAACGGGUUAUAGCUUGCUAUAAUUGUCAGCUAAGUGGCGCACGGGUGAGUAAUGUAUAGGUAAUAUGCCUCUUACUAAGGGAUAACAAAUGGAAACGUUUGCUAAUACCUUAUACUCCUUAUUAACAUAAGUUAAUAAGGGAAAGAUUUAUUGGUAAGAGAUUAGCCUGUAUUGUAUCAGUUAGUUGGUGGGGUAAUGGCUUACCAAGACUAUGACACAUAACUGGUUUGAGAGGAUGAUCAGUCACACUGGAACUGAGACACGGUCCAGACUCCUACGGGAGGCAGCAGUGGGGAAUAUUGCACAAUGGACGAAAGUCUGAUGCAGCAACGCCGCGUGGAGGAUGACACAUUUCGGUGCGUAAACUCCUUUUAUAUGAGAAGAUAAUGACGGUAUUAUAUGAAUAAGCACCGGCUAACUCCGUGCCAGCAGCCGCGGUAAAGU